rnacentral:lncRNA from 1 species
UCCCGACCAACCGGGGCCUGCCACGUGGCAAGACCACGUCACUCCGAAAGGAGCCACGUUGGCGAUCCGCGUGGGUGCGAUCCGACGGCCCAGAUUCAAUCGCACGGACGGCCCAGAUUCAAUCAAAAACGAACGGCCCAGAUUAAAACGAAAUGAACGGCUGUGAUCAAAAGGCAAGGGGUUAUAAAUAGAGCCCCCACACCAGACCACAAACC